ensembl:lncRNA
CUUACAGUACCUUCAGCAAUAGGAACUUCACUGGUUCAGUCUGGAAAUAGGAAGCUAUCUGCAGUGACUAAGAGAUUUGUCAGGAAACUUCAGAAGCCAGAGAUUUUGAGCUUCAGACUAAACCAAGGCAAAUUCCAGCAACAUAAGGCACUAUGCAAAACUCAUUGAAGAUUAAUUGAUUUGGAGGAGAAGGCAACAGAGAGGUGAUUGAAAGGAACUCAGCAAAAGAACUUCCCAUUUUCUAGUAAAGGAAAUAGUAUUCUGGAGUAUCCUAUGUCUUUACAGAUUACAUCAUCUGGAUAUGUCCUAGAGACCAGCUUGUGGUACAGACGCUGUAGAAUACUGCCCUUCCUUCAGAUCCAUGACUGUAAAAAUAGAUGCAAUAUACAAACGUGAAUUUCUGCAGCGCAAGCUGAGGAGACAAAAUCCCUUUUUGGCCGAUAUAGCAUCUCAGCAUUAGGGCUGGUUUGUGCUUCUGUUAAUUCCUGAUACUUUGCACUGGUCUUUAGUAUGCAUUUGGUUAUCUGGUAAUAUUUUCCCUGGCACAAAAACACUGAUCAUCUUUCUAAUGGGGAGCAUAGUAAUUUGAAGCAUAUUCAUGUUUGUGCUAAAAGACCACAGUCGCAAAGUAUAAUCCAAAAGAUUGUUAUGUGAUAGAUUAUGCGUGACAGGAUUUAGGAAAAUGUCACAUAUCAGACACACAGGCCAACAGUAUAUAACAGGACUGCUGCCUCUGGCAGCUUGAUUCUAGCAGAUUUCUAAUCAUGUGUAUUUCAAGAUGAUAAGAGGCAUGCAAGAAAUCUUUUACAGCUUUUGAGGAGUACUCCAGACCAAAAUGAAGGGCAUACUUGGUUGUAUACAAUAUUGAGGAAAUUUUUGUACCAGCAAUAUUAAAUUUCACUGUGAUAACCCUUUUAUUUUUCAGAUACUGAGCAAACUGAAUUGUUUCAGUUUGGUUUUUGGAGUUUUAACAAAUUAGGUCUUACUGUUUCCUUUUCCUUUUUUCCCCCUCUCUGCUAACACACAGUUCUACAACUAUACUUUUGCAACCAGCACGUUUAUGCUUCCAAUAUUUAUUCUUCUUUCCUUCAUAACCCAUUGGCAGAAUACACAGUUCCUGGGAUCUGUUGGAGAUUAGAUUGUCUCUCCUUCAAGGUAUUGCUAGGAAAAACAAAUGCUGAGAAAAUCUUCCCCACUUAAAACUGAUGAUUCAUGCUGCUGUUUCUUCUCAUUUUCUUUGUUUUGUCUCUUGAUGCCAAACGUAUACCACACAGCAGAAGGAAGGGGGAGGACGAAAGAAAGAGGAGAAAUCUUGAUCUGCAUGGAAAGUCGUCUCUUAAACUCAUCUUCUUAAAAGAACAGAAACAUUCAACAGCUUCUUGCUCUGACAAUCAUACAAAUGCUUCCAAAUAUCUGCCAGAAGAAUGCUAACUUAUCUUUAUUUUUUUCUUUCCUUCUCCACUCUUUUUUUUUAUCAUUAUUAUUCAAACACAGCCUUGCAGGCAAGCUCAGAGAUUGCAGAAUUACAUAUGAGCUCUUAGGGCUUGGCCCAUGAGCAGCCUCUUUGCCCAAACUUGCUAGUGAUUUGAACUGGUUAACUCAGCUCUCAAAGAAAGAUAUAGAUGCUAUUGUAGUGUGAUUAUUUACUGCAAAACCUUUAGCCUGGAUUCCUUCCAUUUUGUGGCUUUCUGAUUUGCUGUCUAUCGGCCUAGGCCUGUCUUUGUGGAAAACAGAGCCCAAAUUUCCGCUGUGCUCGCUGACGUGUACUGCUUGUGUUAGCAGAAACAGUAUCUGCAAUUUGCUCAGUCUGAGACCCAGAACACAGAUUCUACCAGCUCAAGCUACUGGUCGAACAUGGUCAUUAUCACAUUUCUGGCAUAACUGCUAGCAGAUGCUUUAGAAACAGCAAAGGCAAACAACCUAAUGCAUCUGGCCAAACGGGAAGUAGCACCAAAUAGGAAGGAAAAUUAUUUUCUGAUAUGUCUUUUGAUCAAUGUGUGAUUUGAAAGAAACAACGAAAUUGUCUUGUGCUUAAGAAUAGUUACAUCUAUGCAUUUCGUGGAGGCCUUUGAUGUAUUUUUCUGGAAGAUAAAAAUCAUCAGAUAAUCAGAAAGAGAUAUACUUCCGAAAUGGAACACAAGAUAUAGUGACUUCUUUAAAAUUCACUUCAGUGCCUUAUGAGAUUCAAUGGGAAAAAAAAAAUGUAUUAGAAAACAUCUGAAUUUAAAAAAAAUCACUGAUUAAAAAAAUAAAAAAUAAAAAAAAGAAAGGAAAGAAUUCAAACAUAUUUGUCAUUUUGCUACUGUAGUUUGUGGUGAGAGGCUGAAUUUCGUCAUACAUUGCCACAUGAUGUUUCAAAAACGUAGCUGUAAGUACCAGGCAAGCAUGUGAUCAAUUCAGUUGACCCACAUGCCAUAGCACAUGAAUGGCUGCUCUGUUUUCCGUGGGUCUUCAGAUCAGGACUGGAUGCAUUGACCAACUGACUGUCCGCUUGUGCUGUUCUCUUUGGUCCUGCUGUGCUUCUUUUACUCCCUCCCCCCUCAGCCUGUAUUCCUUCCUCAGAUCUUUGUUUAGGAUGGAAUUAAUACGAAGCUGCUCUUUGUCCCAUAAACCAAGCUGUCUGGGUUUCUUGACUGGCUUCUUGUUAUAUGGCAGUUUUAAUUAGACCAUGUACACUUGGGGACUAAAAUAUACCAGGUCCCCUGUGAGACAAUUGAGCAACAUUUUUUCUGCAGUUUAUUUGGGUAGGUCCAAGGAAACGGGACUAGUUUUUUGCUGUAUUGAACUAACUUGGAAAUACAGGAUUAUACUACUAUUCACUAAGUAGUUUAAGCAUGCUCAAAAGCACAGGCUUCAGUAUCUCUAUCACUCAUGUACCUCACUCUCAAUAGAGAAGGACCACUUGGAAGAGCAAAGGAUCUAAUUCAUCCUUUGUAGUCAGUACAGUUUUGCUAAAUUUUCUUCCUUAGUAUUUUUCUUAGUGUGUUACAGCUUGUCUACCUACUGCAGUUUCUCAACCUUUUCCCCUAUGUGAUCCUGUGAACAGCAGGAAUAUAGUAACAACGUUGAGCUGUAUUAUGGACCUGGGUUUGAUUGUAAGGGGUGACCUGGGCAGAAAGGUCCUUCAGCUUUUCAUUGUGCAUAAAGUCAUGAUCUUGAUGGUCAAACAUGUCUUUAGGGACAAGAAACUAACAGAAAGUAUGAUGGCACUUAUAGGCAGAACAAAGUCUUCAUAUUCUCUUCACUAAUAAAGUAAAAUGCUCAUUUACUCAUGGCUUUAUGCACAAAGAAGUGUCUAUAGAAAGGUAAUAUGUUUCCUUUGGUCAAUAUUUCCGAAAAUAUUGGCCUUACUUCUGUUGUUCCAAAUAGAAAUUAUAUAUAAGCCAUAUAAGUCUUACGCUGCUCAUAUCCUUAGGCUUUACAGACACAAUAGUAAUGCUACCCAUAAUGUAAUGCAACACAAGGAUAUAUAUUCUGGUAAAUCAAAGACAGUAGCCCAGUACAAAUGAAGUAAGAGUUGGAUCUGUUGCUAGAGAGGAGAUUUCAUCAGAUCUUCAGGGAGCUUUGCACUGUAUAUUAUUCUAUGUCUACACAGAGAGUGUUGACGCCUGCUAUGUAGGCAUCCUUGAGAGUUCCUCCACUCAAGAGAACAGGAAAGGUGCUCUUCCCUGAGAAAAAAAGGCACUAAACCAUAAAGUUUGUUCUGUUAUUCAAGCUGUUUGUAGGCAGAAUUGAGAAACUGGUAAUGGAUAAUACUUACAGACCAAUUUUGGCAUUUUUUCAUAAACAAAUUAUAUAUCUGAAAUUGCUGUCAGUACUCUGCCAGCUGUAUGUAGAGGGGAUGCUGUAUCAACACAAAGAACACCAUGUACUGUUACAAUCUGACUCAGCAGGCAGAAACAUGUUUCAGGGUGUCCAAUUCAUUUGUGGAGUCAAUAUACCUCCCUUCUUUAAAAUGAAAAAAAGAGCUACUAAAAAUAAAGGAAGCUGCAUUAAACAGAUUAAUUUUUAUUUAUAAUUUUGCCUCAAGAAUGUAAGAAUAAGUCAACUCUUCCACGAUACUGGAACAUAUGAAAAGGUUUGGAUUCUCUCUCAUCCCUCUCACGCUAGCCUGACUAGGAAGCUAAAUAUGUACAUUCUUUGAGGGAAGAUUGCUUACUCAAUCCUUUGCUACUAUAAUAUUGUCAGUGUUAUAAAAUGAAAACAAAAACUAGAGAGCAAGGUUUUUUACUCAGGCUAAACUCGAUCUUAUAAACUCAGUGGCAGAACUUCCACCAACACUGAAUGCCUCAGGACUUCUGCUCUGAGUUUUCACUCAAGCAGAAUUGUCGCUGAAACUCAAGAUUUGCCAGGGGACAGACUUAGGAUGAUUCAGAGACCAUCCCUGAACUAGGAAGGUUGCUACCCAAGCAUGUAGCAGCUCACCUGUGACUGUUUUGCACAAAUUGAUGAAAUGUAACUGUUAUAAUAUGUCCAUGCAUUUCUUACUUACCUGUGACCCUGUGGGUCAAGUAUUAAAUGCCAUAUGAACUACAGCUAUAAACAGAGCAGAAAGUUUCCUUAGGAGAAACACUCUUUUCCUUCCCUUAUUCCCAGCUGACUGCUUGUAGGAUUUGUGGUUUUGUUUUGUUUUUCCUGGAUAGCUGAUAGUUUUCUUGACUAGAAUGGAAGGGAACAGCCAUUCCCCCUCCCUCACCUUGACCUUGCUUUGUGCUGAUUUCCUGUCUGCGUGCUCACACUGAUUUCAAUAAAACAGUAUAGACAGUUCAGCACCAUUAGAAGGAGACUUCUCCAUGGAUCAACCCCAAUGUAACAUGAAGUUGGUCAGACAGAGUUUGUAUCAUAAACACACAUCUGUUUUCCUAUGAUCUCCCUAACCCCAGCCCCCACCCUCCAGCUUGCUCUGUUCAUAAAGCAUGGUUUAUGAAUUUGCUUGUUAAAAAUAUGGUCUGCUUUUGCAGUGCACCAGUUUACUUUCUGAUUCAUAUAGAAAAUAUGUUGUGACAGUGCAAUAUGUACUCAAGGUUAUUCUUACUGGUAGUAAAAAGCAGAUUAUCUCCGAAAACAUAUGGAGUCCUGCACAUAUGCACAUCUUCUGCAGAACUGGAGGAGGCAAGUGAAAGCAAAUGCAGUCAGAUGAAGAGUAGCUGCAAGUUGUUUCUAAACCAUGCACAGCCAGCAAUAAUGCAGCUAGGCCAAAACAGAGAAACACUGGAAGGAAAGACCAAAAAACUCCAACAAAUAAAAUGACCAUUACUACAGUGUAUGCUGGCUCAUACUUGGUAUCUUGUCUCAGCUACAAUUCUACUAUAUGCUGAAAGAUUCAAGAGUAUGUGACAUAGAGGAGCCUACGUCACACCCAAUAAUGAAAUGAACGAGGAAAAAAGUACGGAAAGAUUCAAAGUGUUUAGUCUAACUCAAGGAAUAUAUGUGUAAAUUAGAACUUCAACCUAGCAGACAGAGUGAGGUAGGCAAAGAACCACAGAACUGUUUUCUAACAUGCAACAUAACCCCCAUUUCACUAGAUGCUGAGGUAAAGGAAGAUGCCUUGCAUGGAAUCAUCUUGCACAGACCCCCGGGCUCUUUCUAGUUAUUUUUCUUGGAUGGAUGUCAUUUGGGGGGGGUUUCUGCUUUAUAGAUAGAAGGUGAGAUGACAAAUGGCCUUGCGGGGGGUGGAGAAGGGCUGUCAGUUACACUGAAAAUUUAGAGUCUUGAGAAUUAGUGAUUCGGGAAUCAUAAUAGAGAAGAUAAAAUAGUGGUGACGAGAGUCCAGGGGAUGUCCCCAAAACAGGAAUUUGGUGAGUGAUCUCUUUCUUUCCAGCAAAAGUAUUAAAGAUGCCUUUUAUGAAGCACUCUGUAGAAGAACACGGCCAUGCUAUCAAAUGAACAUAAAGAAAUGUGUGUGCUGUACAGAAGUACUGUCUUAAGUGAGAGUCUGGGAAGCCUCUCCUGAAGCUGUUAACAGUUUUAGAAAUUGCAGAUGGGUGUGAAGCCAGAAAUGCUAUCCUUACUGCUUUAAGUGAGAAAGAGCAAGACUGUAUGAAUGCAGUCACUUGCAAGGUUGAGCCAGAGUUAUCUAGUGUCUGCAGGACAGGUCUUUCCAUCACUGCAACAGAUCAGAGAAUAGAUGUUGGGGUACCAGUACCUGUACCUGAUAUUCCUACAGACUUUUUGGAGGAUUAGCAGGACAAGCUCAUGCCUGGGCCAAAGUCCAGCAUAGCAAAUUACUGCUUCUCAACAGGCUCUGAAUCAGGAUAGACCCUUUUGCUUCUGCAAGAGCGCGCCAAGGUACCAGCAAACUCACAGCUAAUGCUGGGACUGUAACUUCAGUAUCUGCAGUGGUUGUGAAAUGGAAUUGGAGGGAACCCUUGCUAAACUCUCAAGACAGUGGCCUGGAGGCAAGCUGCCCUACUGAUCCUUUAUUUGAAACAGGGCCAGUGCUACCCUGCUCUCCGCUGGGACGGCAGAUCCAUUAAAGUGCUUGUGGUGCUCUGCUUCUGAGAUGCUGGGAACAACAGAGAAGUUAAUAAAUAAACACAAUUAAAAAACAAAUCAGGUCUCUCAUGAAUGCAUUGUCUUCUCUCUUUGCUCAAAUUCUUUACAUUCCAAAAUCAUAUUGGAAAAUGGGAGGCAAAUGCACAAUAAAAGCUGUCAGCUGCUUUUUGAGCCAUGUUGUUUCCAUUUCUACGGCUGUUUGAAAAGUGCAUGAAUGCAAAGCACUUUUAAACACUCUAAAAAUCAAUACAGAAGAAACAAUAGAAGCACAUUUAUUCUUGUUUUAUUCAAUGUCAGUAUUGCUGAGUUUUGCUUGACCAGAUGUUGCAGGGUUUCAAAGCUGUUCAACCAUAGCUGUUAACAAAACGGUCCUUCUUUCACUAAAAAAUAAAACAAAACAAACAAACAAAAAAACAUAUUUAUUUUAGAAAAUGCCUUUAGCUUCUUUUCUUAAUGAAAUAAAUAUACGAUUCCUCCAUUACUAAUAUUAAUCCUCAUUGCGUCCUCUGAGAGUAAGUCACAAGGCUUUUUACGUGUGCUGUUUGCACAGUAUUUGCACAAUCAUUUACAAUUCUGAAGGCCUAGUUUUAACUCAGUCACACUGCAACGUCGGGGUUUGUUGUUUCGUGUGUGUUUGUCUGUGUUGGUGUUUAUUUAUUUAUUUUAAUUUAAAGAACACACGCUCAAGAUAAGUAACGAUUUUUCAAAUAGAGGCUGGAAAAGCUUAAGUCUUUCCUCUCUGUGUGGUAGUUUCCCUUCUCUUUCUUUUCCCGGACAGAACUGACAAGCAGGCAUUGUCCCUCCAGUGAGCUCUGCAGUAUUACUUUGACCCUAACCCAUCAAUCUGCCUCAAUUGGAUAAUGAUCUGUAAUCACUUUCUUUCAGGGGAGUCUAUAAAUUUGCCAAGGCCCCAUUCUUCUCUGAAGGCCUCCUUAUGUUCACUCCCAUUUGUGCAAAUGCUCUCUCUUUUACAGCACUAAAUAGCCAUGCACAUGGCCCUUUCUGUUCAGAGGCACCAGGCUGCUCGCUGUUGAUUUUCCAUGGCUCUUCCCUCUAAAAGGAGGCGAAGCCCUACAUGCCGGGGCUCGGCGGGGUGCAGGACGAAGCCACACCACUUCAAGAGCAGCCGCUUUUCUCAUUAAGACUGACCCAUCAUUAGGUCGCUUUGUGCCGGCCCUUGUAAUCGAUGAGAGGACUGUGUAGUGUGAAAAAGCUAAUAAAGACGAGCGUGAGGUGGUAGGAGGGGGGCAGAGGCUCUAAGUCCUGUUAGCAGGGAAGCCCUCCCUCCCCACAGCUCAGGCGCAUCAGGAAAGGGGAAGGCUCGGGUUAGCGAACGGGCUGCAGAUCCCUCCGAGUCAUUUCUUCGAUUAUCUCGCGCUUAAUACCCUGAGCAGCCUUGUGCUGUCCUCUUUAUUGGGCCUAAGGAGUGGAAUAAGCGUGAAAGGAAGAUCAUAUCCUUCUUCCUCAGCCGCCUUCCUUCUGAUUAAAGGAGAUCAAAGGCUGAGGAGCAUCUAGCUGCUUCUGUGUGCAGCACAAGGGGAAGCUGGCGUGUGUGUGUGGAGGUUUUCUUUCCUGCCCACUGAAAAAAGGCUGAGAAAAUGGCAGAAAAGCUAGGAGAAGGGGACAGGUGUGAAGGCUGCUCUUGUGUCUGGCGAAGGACCAAGCACACUUUGUGUCAUGUUGCAUACACUGCAAGAAAUGCAGAGAAAAAGAGGGAACAAGUGAGGAAACAAGUAAGCACUCAUGAAUGUGCAGUGUUGAGCGACUCCUUCUGUAUGUACUGCAGAGAAAGCCAGACGUCUCUGGAAGUGUUGUGCACAUGGAAAUCACCAAAGAAAAUGAAAAAGAAAAAAA